CUUGGUCAAGGACGCCAGCUUGCUUUCGUCAACCAGAAGCUCAAGGUAGUAGAUCAUCAUCCUCAAAACGAUGAGCACUGGUUAUACAUCACUUACUGGGUCAAGGACACCAGCUUGCUUUCGUCAACCAGCAGCUCAAGGUAGUAGAUCAUCAUCCUCAAAACAGUGAACACUGGUUAUACAUCACUUACUGGGUCAAGGACACCAGCUUGCUUUCGUCAACCAGCAGCUCAAGGUAGUAGAUCAUCAUCCUCAAAACGAUGACCACUGGUUAUACAUCACGUACCAAGUCAAGGACACCAGCUUGCUUUCAUCAGCCAUCAGCUCAAGGUAGUAGAUCAUCAUCCUCAAAACAUAGACCACUGGUUAUACAUCACUUACUUGGUCAAGGACGCCAGCUUGCUUUCGUCAACCAGAAGCUCAAGGUAGUAGAUCAUCAUCCUCAAAACGAUGAGCACUGGUUAUACAUCACUUACUGGGUCAAGGACACCAGCUUGCUUUCGUCAACCAGCAGCUCAAGGUAGUAGAUCAUCAUCCUCAAAACAGUGAACACUGGUUAUACAUCACUUACUGGGUCAAGGACACCAGCUUGCUUUCGUCAACCAGCAGCUCAAGGUAGUAGAUCAUCAUCCUCAAAACGAUGACCACUGGUUAUACAUCACGUACCAAGUCAAGGACAGCAGCUUGCUUUCAUCAGCCAUCAGCUCAAGGUAGUAGAUCAUCAUCCUCAAAACGAUGAGCACUGGUUAUACAUCACUUACUGGGUCAAGGACACCAGCUUGCUUUCGUCAACCAGCAGCUCAAGGUAGUAGAUCAUCAUCCUCAAAACGAUGACCACUGGUUAUACAUCACGUACCAAGUCAAGGACACCAGCUUGCUUUCAUCAGCCAUCAGCUCAAGGUAGUAGAUCAUCAUCUUCAAAACAUAGACCACUGGUUAUACAUCACUUACUCGGUCAAGGACGCCAGCUUGCUUUCGUCAACCAGCAGCUCAAGGUAGUAGAUCAUCAUCCUCAAAACGAUGACCACUGGUUAUACAUCGCGUACCAAGUCAAGGACACCAGCUUGCUUUCAUCAGCCAUCAGCUCAAGGUAGUAGAUCAUCAUCCUCAAAACAAUGACCACUGGUUAUACAUCACUUACUGGGUCAAGGACACCAGCUUGCUUUCGUCAACCAGCAGCUCAAGGUAGAAGAUCAUCAUCCUCAAAACAUAGACCACUGGUUAUACAUCAUUUACUCGGUCAAGGAAGCCAGCUUGCUUUCGUCAACCAGCAGCUCAAGGUGGCAGACCAUCGCCCUCAAAACAGUGACCAGUCGUUAUACAUCACUUACCUUUGGACAGUGCUGAUCAGAGAUUUUGUUCACCAAGUCAGCAACAUUCUUCUGAAAUCAGUUUUUCACAUUUGCAUUGAAUCCCCUCCCCCUCCAAAGCACACAAAUUCUACAUAUUUUCAUGAAGCACAUUUUUAAAAAAUGCAUUUCUUAUUAACCAAGGUAGUCAACUUCCCCAGAGUCAAGACUUUGGAGAUUUGCACAAUACUUUGCCAAUUACAGCUCAUGUCUAAAGCAUAGCUGUUUGAGGUUUCAUUUCAGCUUUCAGAAUUGUUGACCAUUCCUACAUGUGGAAUUACUCAAAUUGUUUUAUUCAGGGUAUUCGUGGACAGCAAUUUUACAGGCAUAUCAGUUUUAAUUGGAUUCAGGUCUAGGCGGGACAUUCCAGACAUCGUCUUGUCUUUAAGCUGUUCGGUUGUAGUUUUUGCAAUGAUACAAGGCUGUCCUCAAGCCAGUAAGCUCUAAAAUAGUUGGUUCUGUCACUGCACUCCAGUCCCUACUGAUAUUUGCCCCUUUCUUCCACUUUGCUUAGUUUGGUAGAACAGCCUGAUCUGUUACUGCCUGGACUGUGCCAUAUUUCUCCCUUGCUCCUCCUGCACUAACAGUUUGUAAUAGUGGACUAAAGCAUGCUUCUAGCAAGCUUCAAGGCUUUCUAAAAUAACCUUAACUAGCUUUUUUUGCCUAACAUAUUUUCAACUUUCCCAAUGCCAUUCUUUAAUCUUCAUGGAGGUAUGCCUGGUCUGAUCUGCUCUUUCAGUUGGGAGGGCACAAAGUCGGUGAUAUUUAUUUUGCAAUGACACCAUUGGGCACAGGUGGAUUCAAAACAAUCACAGGUGGCCUUCGUUAAAGUAUUUCAUGUCAUCUCUUAAAUAAUGAGCUACACCUGACCUAAUUUAGGUAGUUAAUUACAAUGGGGUAAAUAUCAUUUUUGGGCUUUUCCUUUUAAUUUCAUCCAUUUUAUGUUGACCCAAGUAACUGAGUAGAGAAAAUCAUUUGCAUAUAUACCAAUUGGACUUUGCAGCACAGCAAAAUGAGAACUAAUCAAUUUAGCUAAUUAUCUCAAAAUUGACCUAUCCUGUCAAAAUCUCCCUUGUAACUUGGGGUGCCUCCCCCUUAACGUUUAAUGAGGGAUGGUUUAUUCUCUUACAGCCAAAU